rnacentral:rRNA from 1 species
UACAGAGGAUGCAAGCGUUAUCCGGAAUGAUUGGGCGUAAAGCGUCUGUAGGUGGCUCUUUAAGUCCGCCGUCAAAUCCCAGGGCUCAACUCUGGACAGGCGGUGGAAACUACCAAGCUGGAGUACGGUAGGGGCAGAGGGAAUUUCCGGUGGAGCGGUGAAAUGCGUAGAGAUCGGGAAGAACAUCAGUGGCGAAGGCGGUCUGCUGGGCCGUUGCUGACGCUGAGGCGCGACAGCGUGGGGAGCAAACAGG